GUUGUUUUGCGAUAUGUAGCGAGGUUAUAGUUUGUUUCAUAUGAAGCUGGUUGACUUACUUUUUGUUAAAGUAUGCUAUGCACGUGCAUCUAUCAUCUUGUGCCCAGAAUCUCAAAUAACCUUAGUCUAUUGAAACUUCGAAUAAAUGGCUUGCUUAUAUUGAUGAAGAGUGCCUGUAACCUACCAUUGUACACGCAAUUCCUGAAUGAGUAUUGCCUAGGCAGCUCACUUAUGAAGAAAUGGAAGGAGGCGAUGAAUUUCUAAUCUAUAAGACGAAAUUAAGUGGAUUUGCUCCCAAGGACUCCUGAUAUCGACUUCAGCUUGAAAAUCUGGAUGUUCAGCCUUGUGUAAGUUAAUCUCCAAAUUUAACCUCAAGGAAACUUCAAUGCUCUGGAAACCAAACUGCUUGCUGGAAGGUAGUGUCGGAUAUUGAAGUAACUUGUAUUAUUUGACUUUGUAAAUGGCACAGUAUUUUGCUUAAUUGUAGUGCCUUGAUGUAGAUGAACCUAUAUACAUGAAAUCUCAAGUUCUUGGUAAACUGACUCCUAUCUAUAAAAGUGCCUCUUGUUAUGUUCGAUUUAAAAUUAGCUUUAACUUAUGAUAAAUAAUUCUAUAUCAAACAAGGGAACUUCAAGGUGAAUCAAUUUUAAAAUUCUUGGCUAAUUUGAAUUGAUAAAUUAAUCGGAAAUUUUAACUUAUUUUGAAUUUGAUUGAAGGAAACGGACAAUAAGACUUCUAUGACGGUAAAUACUGACAUAAACUCUCCUUCCCUGUUUUUCGACUGUUAAAAUGGGCAUUUUCACCUGCAAAUAAUAAAUGCCAAUCUACGAGCGGUAUAUCAAUCCUCCAAGUGUAACAGUAUGAUUAUUAGUAUACUUUACAUAUAAUUCGGCGGUCAGGUUGGUCAUUCCGUCAGUAUAAAUAUUAAAGCGAGUGAAGAUUUAAGACUAGCUCGAUAUGCUAUCAGUUUGGCUCUAAUUCGUUCGGUUUGGUACAACGCUGAAAUUUUGUAGGUAAAAUCAUCUAAUAGGCUAGUUGGUCUCUACAUACAAAGCUCUUUAAAUUACUUCAAUCAACAUUAGCAUUUUCCUUCUUUCUUUACCAAGCCUCUCAAAUAUUCAGUACCAAAUGUAAAUCUAGAAAUUCCGAUCUCUUUUAAAUCAACCCAAUCACGCCUUGAUCUGUCCUAGGUUUAACAUGUAUUGGAAAUAUUUACCCUAUUGACAUCUCCAGCAGAUCUUACCGAUAAGAUGAAGUUUAAGUAAACAAAGUUUGUAAUGUUUCUAAUCAAACGUUUAUGAAGUCUGAUCUUUAUUGUUAAUGAAAAUUCCUCAAGCCAUUAAAAAUGGAAAGCACCUUUAAAACGAGUGUGCAUACAAAAGUCGGUACAAAGUAUUCUUAAAUCGAAGUCUUCAAAUUAAAAUUUUUAAUAUCUUGAUUUCUGUCGGGAAUAUUAGCCCAUUAACAAUCGUGGCUUAGCUCGGCUGUCUAAUAAAGACUAAAAUAAACCGAAUGAGUAUCCUUAAUUCCUCGAAUAAAACUGUAAUAAAGAAACUUGAAAUGUAGGAUUUUGAUCGGGAACAAUAGAAUUAAUCGAAUUCGGUAGGGAUAUAAAGGAUUGGGGUCGAUGCUAAUGUCAAAAGUAGAAAUUGCAUUUAACUGGUUUAUUCCAGAUGGUUGAAAUCGGAUGGGGCUUGGAGAUGGAGGUUAACACGUUAAAUACUGGUCCCUGUUUACUUUCCGUCUAGGCUGUUUGGGACCGGCUGUCUAAACGGAAAGUAUCGGUCCCCAGGGAAUCGGUCAUUAACGUGUUAAUGACGAAUUAGGUCAGUAGGCAAUUUUGAAAAGCGAGUGUAGCGAUCACUUUGGAUUGGGAAGGGGGCAUUUCAUUUGCUUCAAGUGACUAAAAUUUCAAGUGUCCAAGUGAGUUUAUAGGGAUUUGUACUUAAAAUAUUGGCAGCGAUCACAAAUUGAAUCGGAGAUUAGAGUUGCUAGUAGAUCUGAAGUCUUGAACGUUAAUUUGCGUUGUCAGGCUUUAUGAAUAGCAAUAUUAACUGUGAAGAAAACGUUACUGGCCGACUGUUAUUCGUGAAAUGGUUUUCUGUAGUAGUGAACAGUUAAAUGAAUAACAUUUAAUUACCU